rnacentral:sRNA from 1 species
UUGUAGACAUACGAGUAUACGGCCCACUU